GGAGGAUUAGCCUAAUUGGUAAGGCAGCAGUCUUGAAAACUGCCGGGUUCACGCCCAUGGGGGUUCGAGUCCCUCAUCCUCCGCAA
rnacentral:tRNA from 2 species